rnacentral:rRNA from 1 species
GCACCGGCUAACUCCGUGCCAGCAGCCGCGGUAAUACGGAGGGGUGCGAGCGUUAAUCGGAAUUACUGGGCGUAAAGACGCAUGCAGGCGGCCUGUUAAGUCAGAUGUGAAAGCCCGGGGCGUUAACCUCGGAAUUGCAUUUGAAACUAGGCAGGCUAGAGUCUUGUAGAGGGGGGUAGGAAUUUACAGGUGUAGCGGUGAAAUAGCGUAGAGAUCUGAAGGAAUACCAGUGGCGAAGGCGGCCCCCUCGGACAAAGACUGACGCUCAGAUGCGAAAGCGUGGGGAGCAAACAGGAUUAGAUACCCUGGUAG